rnacentral:rRNA from 1 species
AUGGUGCAUGAGUUAAACGGCGGCUCUCCUCCAAGAUACAAUGAUCUCGUAUCUCCUGUUGUGCACUCAAGAGGAGAUGAACCAACAGGUUCUCACCAACGUAGCUCUCUCUAUGCCAAGCUUCAGAUGUAUGUGGAGGAACACCAGAUGAGAUUGAUGCAGAGGACCUGCCAUACAUGGCUGUAUAUAUAG